AACGAACGCUGGCGGCAUGCCUAACACAUGCAAGUCGAACGAGACCUUCGGGUCUAGUGGCGCACGGGUGCGUCACGAGUGGGAACCUGCCCUUAGGUUCGGCCUAACUCCCCGACAGGGGUGCUAAUACCGGAUCAUGUCUUCGGACCAAAGAUUUAUCGCCUUUGGAUGGGCCCGCGUUGGAUUAGCUAGUUGGUAGGGUAAAAGCUUACCACGGCGCCGAUCAAUAGCUGGUCUGAGAGGAUGCUCAGCCACACUGGGACUGAGACACGGCCCAGACUCCUACGGGAGGCAGCAGUGGGGAAUAUUGGAAAAUGGCCGAAAGCCUGAACCAGCAAUGCCGCGUGAGUGAUGAAGGCCGGAGGGUUGUAAAGCUCUAUUACCCGGGAUGAUAAUGACAGUACCGGGAGAAUAAGCUCCGGCUAACUCCGUG
rnacentral:rRNA from 1 species